UAUGGCCAGAUCACAUUGAAACACCUGCUCUCAUAUGAUCACCAAAGUUAAGCAUUGUUAAGCUUGCUUAGUAACUAGAUGGGUAACUGCUUGGGAAUACCAGGAACUGUAAG